rnacentral:lncRNA from 1 species
UCGAACCAUCGGAUACAACAAAUUGCUUAAUGAAAUCUAGAAUAUGAACACCAAAUUCUAAAUUUACUUCGCGUUCAACAUCAACUUUCGCUAAUACAUCCGCCUACUUGUUCGCUUCCCAAUAAGAAUGAGAAACAUUCAACAUCAACUUUCGCUAAUACAUUCACGUACUUGUUCGCUUCCCAAUAAAAAUGAGAAACAUUCACUUCAACGUGCAUCUCUAUAAAAAGUAAAAUCAG